CUGGAUUUCGGAACAAAUUGACUUCUGUGUAACAUAGGCUAUACAGAUUGUGCAGCAUGCAGACAACGAUCACGUUUAUUUAUAAAUAACACAAGAUUACUGCCAAUAAAUAGAAAACGAAUGAGGAUCGUGGCGGACACACGAAUUGUUAAAUUGACGCAGCUCGACGUUGAUUUACCAACAUCCGGAGGAAUUGCAAGAAGACAAGGAAUUGCUUGAAACUGAAGCUCAGUAUCUCAGAAGAAAGAUUAAUGAAAUGAAAAAAGCAAGCUUAAAAUCAAUAUGGAACUGAAAGCUUCUAAAACUGUGAGUUGCCUACUCUUAGUUUAUGCAAACGUGUGCUUAACAUCACCAUCGUCAUCAUUGUUGUAUUCAGUUCCCUAUAAGUGUCCUAAAACUAUUUUUGAAUGGUACUUAUUUUAUAGUUUUUGUACUUAUCAUUACCAGGAGGAAUUGCAAGAAGGCAAGGAAUUGCUUGAAACUGAAGCUCAGUAUCUCAGAAGAAAGAUUAAUGAAAUGAAAAAAGCAAGCUUAAAAUCAAUAUGGAACUGAAAGCUUCUAAAACUGAGGAAUUGCAAGAAGGCAAGGAAUUGCUUGAAACUGAAGGUCAGUAUCUCAAAAGAAAGAUCAAUGAAAUGAAAAAGCAAGUUGGAAAAUCGGUAUGGAUUUGAAAGCUUCUAAAACUAGCCUGCUGAAUACAAAGAUUGCGUCCCAAAAUAACACUGAGACGAUUGCGGCCGAAGAUCACACUGAAACGAUUGCGGCCCAAGAUUACACUGAGACAAUGGUUACAAAGAAAAUGAUAAGAUGGAACUAAAAUCGAAACAGACAAAUCGUGUUGGAGUGGUAGUAAAUUCUAACGAUUAUGCUUCAUAAAUGUAUUCAUGUCACAUAAAAAUGAAUAAUUAUCUGUUAUUCUGAUAUACAAAUUAAUAAAUACAUGUGGAAACGAGCAGUGUUUAAUAAUUAUAAUAUAUGCACCUUUGAUUUGAUAGAACCAUUUUAAUACUUUGACGUUAUAGUGUUAAUGUUAGCUAGCAUAGAUUCAUUCAUUCAUUCAAUAUUAUAUUCCCAUCUCACCUUUUUAAAAAUUACAUACAUGUUCUAUAAAAAUAUAAAAUAAUAUACAUAAUAUUUUAAAAAACACUCAAUACAGAGUUAUGAGAGGCGAUAAUAUUAUACAAAUAAAUAAACAUUAAAAUGCAAGAUAAAAAAUGAAAUAUAAUAGUUAUAACUUUUCAAAUAAAUAACUUUUUCUUUUAAAAUCUGUGCACAGGUUUUGGCACAAGAUCGCAUAAUAAAAUUGUUGGAAAUAAAAAUAUCAUUUUAUCAUGACAACUAAAAUUACUAAAAUUAUCAUUAAUUACCGCAGCGUUGUUAAAUAAAAAAUUUCAUAUACAUUUAGAGUUCAUACAUAUAGUGUCUUUAGUACAUAUAAUUAUGUAUUAUAGUGAUUUUGUAUUUUCCAGGAAACGGGGGGGGGGGGGGGGGGGCACAAGCCACAGUUU